rnacentral:lncRNA from 1 species
CAAGAAGGAGAAGGAGAUAGAUGAUAGGGAGAAACAAUGCAAAGAGCUUAAGUGUAAAGUAGAACAGUCGUUGGAAGAGUUCAAGGAGCUCGAGAAGGGGUUUCGAUAUCGAUUAGUGGAGUUCGAAGCAAAGGAGGCCGAGUUGAACAAGAGAGACAGGGAGAUUGAUGAGAGGGAGAAACGGUAUGAAGAAGUAGAGCGUAAAGCUCGACAGUCGCAGGAGGAGUUUAAUGUGAUCCAGAAGGGGUAUCAAGAUCAGACUGCGAAGUUAAAAGCAAACGAGGUGAAGUUCGAGGAGU